rnacentral:rRNA from 1 species
UUCGUAGGGGGCAAGCGUUGUCCGGAAUCAUUGGGCGUAAAGCGCGCGUAGGCGGCCCGGUAAGUCCGUUGUGAAAGUCAAAGGCUCAACCUUUGAACGCCGAUGGAUACUGCCGGGCUAGAGUCCGGAAGAGGCGAGUGGAAUUCCUGGUGUAGCGGUGGAAUGCGCAGAUAUCAGGAGGAACACCAAUAGCGAAGGCAGCUCGCUGGGACGGUACUGACGCUGAGGCGCGAAAGCCAGGGGAGCGAACGGG